rnacentral:rRNA from 1 species
UACCCGCAGCCCAAGUGGUGGUCACGAUUAUUGGGCCUAAAGCGCUCGUAGCCGGGUCAACAAGUCCCUUGUGAAAUCGGACGGCCUAACCGUUCGGCUUGCAAGGGAUACUGUUGGUCUCGAGGCCGGGAGACGUCUGAGGUACUCCGGGGGUAGCGGUGAAAUGCUGUAAUCCUCGGGGGACCACCAGUGGCGAAGGCGUCAGACGAGAACGGACCUGACGGUGAGGGGCGAAGGCUAGGGGAGCGAACGGG